UACAGAGAGUGCAAGCGUUAAUCGGAAUUACUGGGCGUAAAGCGUGCGCAGGCGGUUAUGUAAGACAGGUGUGAAAUCCCCGGGCUUAACCUGGGAACUGCAUUUGUGACUGCAUAGCUAGAGUACGGUAGAGGGGGAUGGAAUUCCGCGUGUAGCAGUGAAAUGCGUAGAUAUGCGGAGGAACACCGAUGGCGAAGGCAAUCCCCUGGACCUGUACUGACGCUCAUGCACGAAAGCGUGGGGAGCAAACAGG
rnacentral:rRNA from 1 species